AUUGAACGCUGGCGGCAGGCCUAACACAUGCAAGUCGAACGAGUGGCGGACGGGUGAGUAAUGUCUGGGAAACUGCCUGAUGGAGGGGGAUAACUCCUGGAAACGGUAGCUAAUACCGCAUACCAUCGGAUGUGCCCAGAUUGGAUUAGCUAGUAGGUGGGGUAAAGGCUCACUUAGGCGACGAUCCCUAGCUGGUCUGAGAGGAUGACCGGCCAACCUGGAAGUGAGCCACGGUCAAGACUCCUACGGGAGGCGCCGGUGGGGAGUAUUGCAAAAUGGGCGCUAGCCUGAUGCAGGCAGGCCGCGUGUAUGAAGAAGGCCUUCGGGUUGUAAAGUACGUUCAGCGGGGAGGGGUUACCCGCAGAAGAAGCACCGGCUAACUCCGCGCCAGCAGCCGCGGUAAUAC
rnacentral:rRNA from 1 species